GGAUAUCAUCAUAUACUGUAAGUUCGUUAUGGUGACACUACAGUAUAGAUGAUGUAC
ensembl:miRNA